AGCCUCCUUCAGUUGCGGAUGAACAACGCAUAGACGUUUGUUGCAAAGGCUUCUUAGCCAGCGAGCAGCACCCCCGUAUCUAAGAAGAGAGGGAUAGAUGCCCAAGCAACUCAUUCUGCAUAGCAGCUGCCACGACAACCCUCCUUGUGCUGGAAUGUGCUCACUUGAAGGUACUGGUUCUUUUACAUUAAGCCCCUAUGAUUUUAAAGAAAGAAGCAGAGAAGGCUGGUGCUGGGGAGACUUUCUGCUUUCUAGUAAUGCUUUGUUCCUUCCUUCUCUGGCUAAUCCCUGCUUUAAAAUGCUUAACCUCUGGCUGAGGCUAUGCUAGGCACGAUAAAAGGGACACUUUCCAUUGCCUAAGCGGACUGCACAGCCCCUUUAUUAGGACAGCCUCUUUGUUAAUGUUGCUAUUGUUCUCAAGGUAAGCUGGUUAAUAACGCUGCCUUCAACCCUCGCAUCCUGCUACAUUCAUAACUAAGAAUACAGGACAGGAAGGAUGAGACUCCGUGUCUUCAAGGUUGUUGCAAUUUCUCUAAUUAUCUACCAGUCUGAGAGACAAAAAGCUCCAAACAACAGCUGAUCAAACGUAGAGAAAGAAUUUGGCUCAUAAUUGGAUUCCUCUGUGCUUAGGAUGCAAUGCGAGGUUUAUUUAAAAAAAAAAAAAGGCAUACACACAUACACACACACACCCCACCACCACCACCACUAGCAACAACAAUAACAACAAAACACUUUUCAAUCCCGCUUAAUAAUUAAGAUGCCUUAAUUAUCAUCUAUUACUGAGAGUUAGUGCAACCAUUUAAAAGUCAGCAGCAUGUGAGGGGGCCCUUGUUUUAGUUGCCAAGGUAAUUGGAAGGAUAAUUCAAUAUGCUCCAGAGUAACAAAAGACCCCUGAGAAACAUGCAUUAGAUGAGGCACGGAGUUGCUUCAUGGGGUGUUUAUUUCUCUGAGUGUGUCCUCUUUUUUUUGUCUCUUGUCCCAUCAGUAUGUUAGCAGAAAUAGGUAACACGGGGACUUGCAGGGUGUCUCCUGUACUUACACGUGCAUGGCUAUUUAUCUUAUAUGUUACAUAGGACAUAAUGGAUGCCUAGGAUGUGAAAUUGUGGAUUGAAUGGAAGCUCUCACUGGUUAAGCUCUGUGAUAGCCUCUGUGGGACAUCUGAAGUCAUGUAUCAGCCGGUUGUGAAUGGUGGCCCGAGAGAGAAUAGGAUCUGUGUUUGCAGAGAAUGGGCACAGAUGCCUGGCAUGCUAUGCUGCUUUUGGAGUUGUCUCUAAAAGAGCAUGGCACACGGAAAAUGUAGUCUUCAUAGCAAAUGGACAGGGCUGACCUUUUUUGGAGAAGCGAUAACAUCUUUGUAGAGUUAAUUUUUAAAGGUCUUUUCUUUUUUUAGAUGUUAAAGCAUUGGUAGAGUUUCUGAAUUUCCAAACCCAGUGGUAUUUUAUUACUUUUUAUUCCUUUUUCACAUGUAUUCGCUUUAUACGUUUUAUUCAUUCAGUUAUUCACUACUGUCUGUGGAACUAAGUAUACUUAACUGUGUAAAGUUAUCAGUUGCAUUACUAUGACAGUCUUUGGCAUUUUGGGUUACCCUAUUCAAAUGUGAAUGAUUCUACUUACCAAGUGUGACAAUCAAGUCAAGCUAGUAUUUAGCGCUAACAUUCUUCUUAUAAAAAUCAUUGCUUAAUAAUCAAUAGUCAUAUGACUAGUGAUAGAACUGUACAGAUUUAAACUCUUAAUUUGUAAUAUUAAAAAUAAGCUGUAAAGUAAAAUAAGAUUAUUUUUCCUAUGUGGGAAAAUAUUAUUUCUUACUACCUUUAAAGGGCAUUGCUUUUGAGAAGGCAAAGUAAAGAAUUAACUGGCUGCCCACAAGGAGUCCACUAACAACUUUGAUGAAUGGCAAGGGGACCUGGCAUCUGGUAGCACAUGGGAUCCCAGGAGGUCAGCAUCCCGAACUUGGCUCUGAGUAAUGCUGUACGUGGGAUGAUGGCAUAAGUCUGUUUUUGCUAAUGGAAAAGAAAAGCAGGAAGUGAUCCUAGAGAGAUAAAGGAACAAGGCAUCCUAAGAGGCAUUCAAAGAGAAAAAACUUGAGGUAUAGCCUUGACAACCGAAAGUCCCACUUCCUGGUUAACCUGGGGGAGAGGAGGGGGGAGCAGACUGACUUUAUGGCUUAUGAGAAUUAUAAAAAGCCCAUAUAAGAAUACAUAGUUCUUGUAAAUAAAAUGAGGGCAUUGUUAUGAGGACAUUGGAGCAGGUUGACAUUCAUUCAUUGGCACUGAAACAGAUCCUUCCUUGGAGGACCCUUGUACUUCCCCUUCUGUGUUAGAGUGGGAGAGGUGGUCUUCUCCAGGAAGAGUCCCCUAAUUGCUCAUGCAAUGCUAAGCAGUCAGCUAUGAGACCAUGUAGAUACAUAUGGGAAACAGUGUACAGAGUGAGUAGGUUACAUUUAUAUAUUUAGGAGUCUGUGCAUCUGUCUAUAUGUAUAAAAAAAAGAGGUUAUGAGUUUGAGAGAGAUGGGGCUGGGUGCAUGGGAGGGGACUGAGGGAGGGAAGAGUGUGAAAGGAGGAAAUGGUCUAAUUAUAUU
rnacentral:lncRNA from 1 species